UACGAACCGUCCAAACGUUAUUCGGAUUUAUUGGGCUUAAAGGGUAUGUAGGCGGCCCUUCAAGUCGGGUGUGAAAGCCCUCGGCUCAACCGAGGAACUGCGCCCGAUACUGCAGGGCUUGAGGGAGACAGAGGUAAGCGGAACUGAUGGUGGAGCGGUGAAAUGCGUUGAUAUCAUCAGGAACACCAGUGGCGAAAGCGGCUUACUGGGUCUCUUCUGACGCUGAGAUACGAAAGCUAGGGAGCGAACGGG
rnacentral:rRNA from 1 species